AAAUUAAUAGUUUAAAGAAUAUAUUGUUGAAGACAAUAAGGUGUUUAAUUAACUUU
rnacentral:tRNA from 1 species